rnacentral:rRNA from 1 species
CCGCCCGUCACACCAUGGAAGUGUAUUGCACCAGAAGCAGGUAGCCUGACCGCAAGGAGGGCGCCUACCAGGGUGUGGUCCAUGACUGGGGUG